rnacentral:rRNA from 1 species
GGGUCAGUAGGUUGGUCGUGCCACCGGUACGUACUGGUCUCACUGAUUCCUCCUUCCUGAAGAACCGUAAUGCCAUUAAUUUGGUGUUGCGGGGAAACAGGACUGUUACUUUGAAAAAAUUAGAGUGUUUAAAGCAAGCUAACGCUUGAAUACAUUAGCAUGGAAUAAUGAAAUAGGACGAUCGACCCUAUUUUGUCGGUUUCUAGGAUUGACGUA